rnacentral:ribozyme from 1 species
UAUAAAUCGUGGUCUGUGAAUGGGGUAGGAUCCGACGCCUCCUGAAGGCUACAUAGGCUCUCCUACCCAACUCCUAUUCUGGUAUGUCCUAGCCAUACAGACCGUGCACAUGUAGCCCCGUUUAUCUGAGGUAAAUCUUGGUUUAUCUUGGGUAAACGGGUCCAAUCCCAACCCCUUGGGAGGAUGGGGUUGCAUGGCCAAGGCAGAAGGG